rnacentral:rRNA from 1 species
CUAGCGACUUCAGAGUUUGAUCCUGGCUCAGGAUGAACGCUGGCGGCGUGCUUAACACAUGCAAGUCGAACGGACUUUUGAUGAAACCUAGUGAUUUAAAAGUUAGUGGCGGACGGGUGAGUAACGCGUGAAUAACCUGCCUUAUACUGGGGGACAACAGUUGGAAACGACUGCUAAUACCGCAUAAGCGCACGGAGCUGCAUGGCUCAGUGUGAAAAACUCCGGUGGUAUAAGAUGGAUUCGCGUCUGAUUAGCUAGUUGGUGAGGUAACGGCUCACCAAGGCAACGAUCAGUAGCCGGCCUGAGAGGGUGAACGGCCACAUUGGGACUGAGACACGGCCCAA